GCCACCAUUUAAAGAGUGCGUAAUAGCUCACUGGUCGAGUGACUCUGCGCCGAAAAUGUAACGGGGCUAAACACACCACCGAAGCUAUGGCUUGAAUCGACUUCACUGCUUCUUUGAGGCGGUGUUAACCAGGUACAUUUUUGCCGAAAGCUACCGAUGAAUAUUGUUCAAAGGUUUCGGCCAAAUGCACCCCGGGGUUAAACACAGGACUUCGAAGCAGGAGUGAAGUCGAUUCAGGGGUAGGGGAGCGUUGUAUGUAGGUUGAAGGUGUACCGUAAGGAGCGCUGGACUGCAUACAAGUGAGAAUGCCGGUAUGAGUAACGAAAAGAUCAGUGAGAAUCUGAUCCGCCGAAAG
rnacentral:rRNA from 1 species